rnacentral:rRNA from 1 species
AGUGAACGCUGGCGGUAGGCCUAACACAUGCAAGUCGAACGGCAGCACAGUAAGCGCUUGCUCUUACGGGUGGCGAGUGGCGGACGGGUGAGGAAUACAUCGGAAUCUACUUUUUCGUGGGGGAUAACGUAGGGAAACUUACGCUAAUACCGCAUAUGACCUACGGGUGAAAUCAGGGGAUCUUCGGACCUUGCGCGACUGAAUGAGCCGAUGUCGGAUUAGCUAGUUGGCGGGGUAAAGGCCCACCAAGGCGACGAUCCGUAGCUGGUCUGAGAGGAUGAUCAGCCACACUGGAACUGAGACACGGUCCAGACUCCUACGGGAGGCAGCAGUGGGGAAUAUUGGACAAUGGGCGCAAGCCUGAUCCAGCCAUACCGCGUGGGUGAAGAAGGCCUUCGGGUUGUAAAGCCCUUUUGUUGGGAAAGAAAAGCAGCAGGUUAAUACCCCGCUGUUCUGACGGUACCCAAAGAAUAAGCACCGGCUAACUUCGUG